rnacentral:lncRNA from 1 species
ACAAGAGGUCUGAUCCCACUGACGAGUUCCGCAAAGGCACGCUUCUUGGAAUCGCAAUAUGAAAUUGAAGAAGGAGCUUUGUUUUCUCCAUGUCCAGACUUGAUGAUGCAACCUUUUAGCUAGGAGGCAUUCCAUAUUCUUGCUGAAGACUCAAGAUAACCCCUCGCGCAAUUAUUUAUCUUUUUCCUGAUCUCUCUGCUCAAAACAAGUACAGGACUACCAUGGGCUAUUCAGCAAACCACAGAUGUCGCAAGCAAUCAAUCAAACCAGUGACGACGAAUAUCAGCCCACAAUUUUUAUUCUUCCCACUGCCAGCAGAAUGGCAGAUGCCAAAGAAGAUUCCAAACACCUCUCUCUCUCUCUCUCUCUCUCUCUCUCUCUCUCUCUACACACUUUACCAUCUCCUUUUCUCCUCCACUAGAAUUGCCCAUUUUUGCAAUUUUUUUCUCCCUAUGAAACCACCCAAUUUUCAACUAUAAAUGCCCCCCUCCUCCAAGCUUCAAUUCCCU